GGCCUACAGUAGUUGUAAUCUUGCUUGGAUUCAUGCCCUUAUAAUUCUUCGUGAAUUUCGUCUUCGCCGCUUCCAAGCCCAGGCUUGUCAUGCUCGUGCCAUGAUGGCUGAUCUGCAGAGCGUUGUGUUUGUAAGGCAUCACCAAUAAGAGAUUUGCGAUACGCGGCCAUGUUUACUUCUGUCAUUACGUAGCAAUGCGAUAACGCAUACCCAAGAAUCUUAAUUCUAGGAGACCGUUUUUCCAAGUAUCUUAAUUCUAGGAGACCGUAGAUUUCAAACAUAUUAAAUUGGAAAGUAAACAUGACACUAAAAUGUUCAAUGCUCUCUAAAUUAAGUUGGGUUUUGAACAAGUAUUGUCUUUUGCAUAUUACAUCUGUAUCUUGAUAAAAGGAAAGCAGAGAAAAAGUUUGGAGUGGAGAAAAGUAGUAGUUGAAAGGAAUAACGCCACAAUAUCUUUGAAAUAUUCCAUUUUAUUGUUGAUAAUGUAGAUCUCUUGCCUAGCCGCAAUACAUACUCGUAAUCC